CUGACCCUGACCCGGAAGGCGCUGCCUCCUGAGUGCUGGGAUUAAAGUUACAGUGGUCAGGACGGGCAGCUGUGAGUCCAGCUACUGUGGGCUCCUGUGAGGGUCAAGAGAGAGGAUGAGAACAGAGGCCCCUGCCAUGGCUGACUCCAGGGUGACAUGUGGCCAGGUAAAGCAGGCUAGACCAAAGGCCCCCAGGAAAAAGGGUCAUACAGCCCUGUAAAAAAGAAUGACAAUGGACCUUGUCUCAGGGUCUCCCUGAUUACCCUGGGGAAGUCAGACUGAGGACAGGGGUCCUUCAGUGACUUCUCCAAAGUUUUGCCACUUGGCCUCUCUGUGAUCCUUAUAUUGUGAAGCCUCCUGAGCCUAAGGAGUGAGGCAUCUGCCUUGCGUUGUCACCAGAUGUCGUCUGCAGAGUUCUACUGUAACUCUACUUGUCCCAGAUGCUUGGGGGGUGAGGGUGGAGGUGGGAGCUGGCCUCAGAGUUCCUGGGCUUGUAGCCAACCUUGAGACCAUGCCCAAUGGGGCCAGGGCACCUGGGGCCCACUGAGGAGCCCGCCUUGUGGAGAGGAAGCCGAAACCAAGGCAAAACUGCUGCUAGAAUUUGUUUUCAAAAUUCAAAAAUAUUUAAUAUCAUAAAAUCCCAAAAGAAGAGAGACUGGGUGUCAGCACUGUCUCAAUAUUUAUUCUAUUAUAUAUUGAAUAAAUCAAUUCACCAGCAGUGUACAGUCCCACCCUAACUUUGUAAGCUACCCACAAAUCCUGUGUGGACAUGUGUAUAUGGGUGCCGUGAAGGGACUGGGAGGAUUAUCAUUGCUG
rnacentral:lncRNA from 1 species